AGCCUCUUGAAGUAAGUGGAGAAUUUUCCUGGGAACCCAGCGGCCUUUGGAUGCAGUUUUCAGGGUGUGUGAACCCACCACCACCAAAUGAGAGAUGCAAUGGGAUUUUGGGAGCUCCUCUGCCACCUGCAGUGCAAUACAAAUGACCUGGCUCUCCAGGGGUUUUUUCUUGGGCUUUGUUACUUCUGCACAACCUGACUGCAUCCCUUUUUGAACCCCCUUGAGCUCAUGGCCGGUGUCAUCUUGGUGCUGCAGAAAAUGGACUGGAAAUGGAUGGUGUUCAGGUAAAGCCAGGAUUAUCUAGAGCUUCUCACCUCUUUUUGACCUCAGUGCUCUUCAGUGUGAACCCUGUGUCACUCACAUGAACAAGAUCCAUCCACGGAAAAGCCUUGGGUGCAAUUUGAAAAUGAAAAUUGAAAGCCUGA